GUAACAUCCGUGCCCACCUUCCUCUACUUCAUAUGUGGGACGCCUGCCACAGCAUGGCCUGCCAAGUGGUGCCAUGUCAGCACCCAGGAUCUGAACUGGCGAACCCCAGGCUGCCAAAGCGGAAUGUGCACACUUAAUCACUGCGCCACCAGGCCAGCCCCUCACUUCAUCUUUCUGAAUCCUGAUUUACUAGCUAUGAUCCUGGUGAUAAGGCUGUUGACUGAUGUUGACGAAGUUAACCAACCUGUAGUAAGGCACUCCGCUAGGACUUGUGGGAGCCAGAAUGAAAACCAGAUCUCAGGAACAUCGCGCACGUUUUGACCUCUCCGAGCUUCAGUUUCCUCCUUUGCAAAGUCGGAAUGAUAACAGCUACCUUGCAGGAUUGUGACAGACCUUCCCUUGAGAAUUAGAAAUGUUGGACAACACGUAAAACCAUCAGUGUGAAGACAGUGGGGAAUGGUGAAGCCUGAAAGGGCGUUGGGAAAUCACGAUUCCUCGAAGAAGUUGCCACUGGACAAAUUCAGGAAGCUCCUCGAGUCUUCUAGGCUCUGUCUGUCUCCCAGGUCCUCAAACUUACCAUGGACGUGAAGUCACCACUCCAUCAAAAAGCUCCACAGGCUGCUUCAGCCCCCCUCGAGGUGAGCGCUCAUCUCCAGCCUGGGCUCCAUCGCUCCUGGUGUAGUGUGAGCUGCUGCAGCUGUGACGCCAGGCCCAGCGCAUCCAUCAAGGAUCUGAUUUGUCUCACCAGCUCUGGAGUUGGAUGAAGCAUGUGCUGCAAGGUUUGGGAUUUUGUUUCCCCAGUGGGUCUGAAGAGGCCAGUUGAAAAAUUUGGAAAUGCAUGGAAGUUAAUGUCUUGUGGGGUAAAUUUCGAUCAAUGAAAGUUGUCGUUCAAUGGAGGGAGCUGUUAAAUAAAUUCCUCUCUCUUUCUCCCUCUACCGGACUGUUCAAAGGGUGUUUCUGUACAGUGAGCUGCGUCUCUUCAGGAAGCUGGCUGUCUGCAGUAAUAUGCCAGUUU
rnacentral:lncRNA from 1 species